rnacentral:rRNA from 1 species
AUUGAACGCUGGCGGCAGGCUUAACACAUGCAAGUCGAGCGGGGACUUCGGUCCUAGCGGCGAACGGGUGAGGAAUGCUUGGGAAUCUGCCCAGUAGCGGGGGAUAACGUUUCGAAAGGAACGCUAAUACCGCAUACGCCCUACGGGGGAAAGGGGGGGAUCUUCGGACCUCUCACUAUUGGAUGAGCCCAGGUCGGAUUAGCUAGUUGGUGGGGUAAAGGACUACCAAGGCGACGAUCCGUAGCUGGUCUGAGAGGAUGAUCAGCCACACUGGAGCUGAGACAGGGUCCAGACUCCUACGGUAGGCAGCAGUGGGGAAUACUGGACAAUGGGCGAAAGCCUGAUCCAGCCAUGCCGCGUGUGUGAAGAAGGCCUUCGGGUUGUAAAGCACUUUAAGCGAGGAGGAAUGGCUCUUGGUUAAUAACCUUGAGCAGUGACGUUACUCGCAGAAUAAGCACCGGCUAACUCUGUGCCAGCCGCCGCGGUAAAAC